CCUAUCAGGUAGUUGGUGAGGUAAUGGCUCACCAAGCCGACGACGGGUAGCCGGCCUGAGAGGGUGACCGGCCACACUGGGACUGAGACACGGCCCAGACUCCUACGGGAGGCAGCAGUGGGGAAUAUUGCACAAUGGGCGAAAGCCUGAUGCAGCAACGCCGCGUGGGGGAUGACGGCCUUCGGGUUGUAAACCUCUUUUAGUAGGGAAGAAGGGCUUCGGCUUGACGGUACCUGCAGAAAAAGCACCGGCUAACUACGUGCCAGCAGCCGCGGUAAUACGUAGGGUGCAAGCGUUGUCCGGAAUUAUUGGGCGUAAAGAGCUCGUAGGCGGUUUGUCGCGUCUGCUGUGAAAACCCGAGGCUCAACCUCGGGCCUGCAGUGGGUACGGGCAGACUA
rnacentral:rRNA from 1 species